rnacentral:rRNA from 1 species
CCCUUAGAUGUUCUGGGCCGCACGCGUGCUACACUGACGAAUGCAACGAGCUUAUAACCUUGGCCGAAAGGUCUGGGUAAUCUCCAAAUUUCGUCGUGAUGGGGAUAGAUUAUUGCAAUUAUUAAUCUUCAACGAGGAAUGCCUAGUAAGCGCAAGUCAUCAGCUUGCGUUGAUUACGUCCCUGCCCUUUGUACACACCGCCCGUCGCUCCUACCGAUUGAAUGGUCCGGUGAAGCGUUCGGACCGUGGCCUUUGGACGGUUCGCCGUCUGUUGGCUGCGGGAAGUUCGUUAAACCUUNUNAUUUAUNGGAAGGAGAANUCGUANCA